CAGCACACAGUCAGAAAUAUGAAAUUGUACAGCUUACUUUUGAUUAGGAGGUGAUGAUUGUAGAAAGAAAAGCUUGUUAAUGGCCAAAUGAAUCCAUAAUAAAGAAUAAUCCAGUGAUGGAGAACUUUAAAAACUGUCACACAUGUCAAUGUAUGACAUGGAGUU